rnacentral:lncRNA from 1 species
GGGUUUCUCUCAUCUCGGUCCGCCGCUCAAUUCCUCUCAUCCUCUGCUCUCUCUCUAUGGCGAUUCUUGGCGACUUCAUCAGGCCUCUCUCUCGGAUCUCGCCAGAUUUCUCACUAGAUCUGUGAGGAUUUCACCAGAUCGAUGAAGUUUUAUCAGGUUUGAUCGAUUGGUAGAUCCUUUGUGAUAAUCUAUUCACCAAGCCCAAUAUUGGUCUCACUAGAUGCCGUUUCAUGACCAGAUCUAGCUGAUUUACCGGGUUGCUUUGGACUUUUACAGGUGUGGACCUCUGAUGGCAUUGUGUUCAAGUACGGCUCUAAGCCUAUUCAGUUAUUAGGUAUUUUGGAAAUCUGGAAAUUAGGUGAUCGAGAGUAAAUCUAUAUUUGAUCUUCCUAGCCUUCAUUGUUGAAAUCUGUUCGAUCUUGAGCUUUAAUGCCUUUUCGUGGUUUUAAAAGAUUUACUGUUGCACGAGAAUCAGCUAUAGAAUGCACCACCUGAACCAUGGGCAUUAAGAGAACGAUGAAUCUUGGCACAUGUUGGGAAGCUUUAUUUACAGAAGCUGGACCUGCACUUGAAGUUUUAAGUGAUACUCUUAAUGCCAUUGAUACCAGACUGGGCGUUAGUUUCUGUACAAGAAACCCGUAAAACGCUGCUAACUGAUGUCGAACAACAGAAAACAAGGAUAGCUGGUUGAACUGGGUGAUGAUCGGCUGAAAGGAGGUAGGGUAUUUCUGGUUAGCUAGGCUGCACAAAUCAGAACUUUCUAUAGGGAUUGAUGAUGGGCUGUCUUAUAUGAGUUGUUUGAGGAAGAAUUGAUCAACCUGCAGAGCUCUAUAUCAACUUCAGAAUGUGAUUCUACAUCAACAUCAGAUGGUAUUUUGGCUCGCAAUACAAAGAUGAACUUUAUGUCUUCUAGUCCCGUACAUGCAAUUUGAGAGAAGGUAUUAUUAUUGGAAGUGUUCUUCAAAAAGAGUCUAUUCCACCACUUCAUUCCAGUCUGGCUUUAAUGAAACUUGCAGAAAUGGAGUAUGGUGGUACAACAAGGUACAAACAUGAACUAACAAAGGAGCAAAAAGAUGACAUCAAUUAUCUUGUGAAGAAGUAGAGACAUAAAAUGGUUACACCUGAAAUUUUAAGAGAGCUGAAUCAUAGCCGUAACCGUGGGGAAGAAGCAAACGGAUCCUUUGACUCUCGAUUGGCAAGAAGUAAGAGACAACACGAUUUGGACUUCUGGCCUUAUUUUUCAAUAAGGAAAUUAAUGAGGAUGAGGAGAGGCUGCUAGAAGCGUUCUUUUCCAAGGAUGCAAGGCCACAAUGCACUUUGGCUGAUAUUAUUGUGGAGAAAAUUAAAGAAAAAGAUCAAGUGCAUGCAGGUUUGUCUGCAGGAAUUCAACAUUUGCCCAAAUCGGAUGAUUCAAGAAAUCUGGUACAGUAGAGGAGAAGGUACAAGAAAGUCUUGAGCGAACGGAUGUAUUGGUAAAACAGGAAGAGAUACAAGAGACUCCCCGUAUUUUGUUUUUAGUGUUUUGUCCAGCUACUUGCCUGUUUUGUACUCUUCUUGUUUUUAGUUACAUCUACUUCCUUGUUUUGUACUCUCCUUAUAGAUAGAUAACGUCGAAGCUACAACUAAAAAAAUUUAC